UACUAGAGUAGCACUCGCAUAUCAAUAAGCGGAGGAAAAGAAACUAACAAGGAUUCCCCUAGUAACGGCGAGUGAAGCGGGAAGAGCUCAAAUUUGAAAUCUUAAAGGGUUUCCCUUUACGAAUUGUAGUUUAAAGAAGUGUUUUCUGUUGAGGUUUUGGUAAAAGUUCUUUGGAAUAGGACAUCAUAGAGGGUGAGAAUCCCGUAUUUGACCUUUACUUUCAACUUUGUGAUACACUUUCAAAGAGUCGGAUUGUUUGGGAAUGCAGUCCAAAAUGGGUGGUAAAUUUCAUCUAAAGCUAAAUAUUGGCGAGAGACCGAUAGCGAACAAGUACCGUGAGGGAAAGAUGAAAAGAACUUUGAAAAGAGAGUUAAACAGUACGUGAAAUUGUCAAAAGGGAAGCGUUUGGACACCAGUGUUGUUUUUCUGAAAAUCAAUUAAAGAACUGUUUAUGCUAAGUUGUUUAGACUUUAUCAGCUAAUCUGCUUAGUUUUGAGCUUUUCUUUAAUGCACUUUUCAGUUAACAAGUCAACAUCAAUUUCUUUUACUGUAAAAAAGCUUGAGGAAGGUGGCUUGAGAUUCGUCUUAAGUGUUUAUAGCCUCUUGCCUAUGCAGUCGGAGAGAUUGAGGUCUGCAGCGUAGAUCCUUCGGGGCUAAAUGCAUUUGUGCUAAGUUAUAGCAUUUUAUAGACAACUUGUUGACUAUGAUUUGUCUUGUAGCUUACUCGCUUAUGUUAUUUUACCUACGCUUAGGAUGUUGAGUAGCGACAUACGCAC
rnacentral:rRNA from 1 species